GAUGAACGCUAGCGGAAGGCUUAAUACAUGCAAGUCGAGCGGUAGGUGGCUUCGGCCAUUGAGAGCGGCGCACGGGUGAGUAACGCGUACAUGACCUGCCUGUCAGAAGGGGAUAGCCCUGGGAAACUGGGAUUAAUACCCUAUGGUAUUGACAUUAUGAAUGAUAUCAAUUAAAGUUGAGGCGCUGACAGAUGGAUGUGCGUCUGAUUAGCUAGUUGGUAGGGUAACGGCCUACCAAGGCGACGAUCAGUAGGGGGCGUGAGAGCGUGGUCCCCCACACGGGUACUGAGACACGGACCCGACUCCUACGGGAGGCAGCAGUAAGGAAUAUUGGUCAAUGCCCGCAAGGGUGAACCAGCCAUUCCGCGUGGAGGAUGAAGGCCCUAUGGGUUGUAAACUUCUUUUAGAUGGGAAGAAAAUGCUAGAUGUAUCUGGUACUGACGGUACCAUCAGAAUAAGCACCGGCUAACUCCGUG
rnacentral:rRNA from 1 species